UGGCUCAACUGGUAGAGCAUGGCAGUUAUAUUGCCUGGGUUAGGGGUUUGAUUCCCACGGGGACCA